CCUACGUGUGGCAGCAGUGAGGAAUAUUGGUCAAUGGGCGCGAGCCUGAACCAGCCAAGUAGCGUGAAGGAUGACUGCCCUACGGGUUGUAAACUUCUUUUAUAAAGGAAUAAAGUGAGGCACGUGUGCCUUUUUGUAUGUACUUUAUGAAUAAGGAUCGGCUAACUCCGUGCCAGCCGCCGCGGUAAUACGGAGGAUACGAGCGUUAUCCGGAUUUAUUUGGUUUAAAGGGAGCGUAGAUGGGUGGUUAAGUCAGUUGUGAAAGUUUGCGGUUCAACCGUAAAAUUGCAAUUGAUACUGGCAGCCUUGAGGACAGUUGAGGUAGGCGGAAUUCGUGGUGUAGCGGUGAAAUGCUUAGAUAUCACGAAGAACUCCGAUUGCGAAGGCAGCUUACCAAGCUACUUCUGACGUUGAGGCACGAAAGCGUGGGGAGCAAACAGGAUUAGAUACCCCGGUAGUC
rnacentral:rRNA from 1 species